AGAGUUUGAUCAUGGCUCAGGACGAACGCUGGCGGCGCGCCUAACACAUGCAAGUCGAACGAGCGAGAGAGAGCUUGCUUUCUCGAGCGAGUGGCGAACGGGUGAGUAACGCGUGAGGAACCUGCCUCAAAGAGGGGGACAACAGUUGGAAACGACUGCUAAUACCGCAUAAGCCCACGGGUCGGCAUCGACCAGAGGGAAAAGGAGCAAUCCGCUUUGAGAUGGCCUCGCGUCCGAUUAGCUGGUUGGUGAGGUAAUGGCCCACCAAGGCGACGAUCGGUAGCCGGACUGAGAGGUUGAACGGCCACAUUGGGACUGAGACACGGCCCAGACUCCUACGGGAGGCAGCAGUGGGGAAUAUUGCACAAUGGGGGAAACCCUGAUGCAGCGACGCCGCGUGGAGGAAGAAGGUCUUCGGAUUGUAAACUCCUGUUGUUGGGGAAGAUAAUGACGGUACCCAACAAGGAAGUGACGGCUAACUACGUGCCAGCAGCCGCGGUAAAACGUAGGUCACAAGCGUUGUCCGGAAUUACUGGGUGUAAAGGGAGCGCAGGCGGGAAGACAAGUUGGAAGUGAAAUCUAUGGGCUCAACCCAUAAACUGCUUUCAAAACUGUUUUUCUUGAGUAGUGCAGAGGUAGGCGGAAUUCCCGGUGUAGCGGUGGAAUGCGUAGAUAUCGGGAGGAACACCAGUGGCGAAGGCGGCCUACUGGGCACCAACUGACGCUGAGGCUCGAAAGUGUGGGUAGCAAACAGGAUUAGAUACCCUGGCAGUCCACACCGUAAACGAUGAUUACUAGGUGUUGGAGGAUUGACCCCUUCAGUGCCGCAGUUAACACAAUAAGUAAUCCACCUGGGGAGUACGACCGCAAGGUUGAAACUCAAAGGAAUUGACGGGGGCCCGCACAAGCAGUGGAGUAUGUGGUUUAAUUCGACGCAACGCGAAGAACCUUACCAAGUCUUGACAUCCCUUGACAGACAUAGAAAUAUGUAAUCUCUUCGGAGCAAGGAGACAGGUGGUGCAUGGUUGUCGUCAGCUCGUGUCGUGAGAUGUUGGGUUAAGUCCCGCAACGAGCGCAACCCUUAUGGUCAGUUACUACGCAAGAGGACUCUGGCCAGACUGCCGUUGACAAAACGGAGGAAGGUGGGGAUGACGUCAAAUCAUCAUGCCCUUUAUGACUUGGGCUACACACGUACUACAAUGGCGUUAAACAAAGAGAAGCAAGACCGCGAGGUGGAGCAAAACUCAGAAACAACGUCCCAGUUCGGACUGCAGGCUGCAACUCGCCUGCACGAAGUCGGAGUUGCUAGUAAUCGUGGAUCAGCAUGCCACGGUGAAUACGUUCCCGGGCCUUGUACACACCGCCCGUCACACCAUGAGAGCCGGG
rnacentral:rRNA from 1 species